GCAGCAAAACCAGCAGCUCCAAAUCCAGCAGCUUUAAUUCCAGCUCUAAAACAUAUCACGCAUUUGGAAAUAGUUAUCCCGUAUUCAAAUAUCGCGCGUAUAUCUGUUGAAAAGUGGACAGGGGCGGCAGGUUUCCUAGAACUGGACUGUCGGAUCUUCACAACAAAAAAAAAGAAAAAACCAAAUCCUGGAAAAAUAGUCUGCCGGUUGUUCUUUCUCUACCUGGGAUCUUCAUGCAUUAGAACUUCAAG